GACGAACGCUGGCGGCGUGCCUAAUACAUGCAAGUCGAACGCAGUGGGGACGGGUGAGUAACACGUGGGUAACCUCCCAUCAGAGGGGAUAACACUUGGAAACAGGUGCUAAACCGAUACUGAUGGAUGGACCCGCGGUGCAUUAGCUAGUUGGUGAGGUAACGGCCCACCAAGGCCACGAUGCAUAGCCGACCUGAGAGGAUGAUCGACAACAAUAGGACUGAAGCACAGCCCAGACUCCUACGGGAGGCAGCGGUAGAGUGUCUACGGCAAUGGACGAAAGUCUGACCGAACAACGCCGGGGGAGUCAAAGAGGUUUUCAGUUCGUAAAACUCUAUUGUUAGGGAAACGGUAUCUAACCAGAAAGCCACGGCUAACUACGUGCCAGCAGCCGCGGUAAUAC
rnacentral:rRNA from 1 species